rnacentral:rRNA from 1 species
GCUGGCGUCCUUAGCCGCGGUGGGCGUGUCACACUGGACCCCAUGCCGAACUCAGAAGUGAAACGCCGUAGCGCCGAUGGUAGGUGUUGGGGGUCUCCCCAUGCGAGAGUAGGGAACUGCCAGGC